rnacentral:lncRNA from 1 species
UCAUAACAUACACAUUCAUAGAAUUUUUGAGUUGGGGGGCAGAAAGAGCAUACCUAAUCAACGAGCAUUAACACCUUUAUGGGAAACAAGGGUAGCUCAACGAUGAAUAUAAAACAAAUUCAUGUAUAUCAUCAAGAGGAAUAAAAAAAAUCAACCAGAUAUCAAGCAAGCAAUAUCAAAGAGAAUAUCAUGAAUGUCGACCCCCCUCCAAAGCCCUAAUUAAUUUUGCAUGAAUUGAUUCUAUGAAUUCCAUUGUUUGGAAUCAUGAAGUUUGUUCAUGCUUGUUAAAAAAAUCAAGAAAAUUAGUAAAAAAAAUAGUGAAAACGUGUGGAGGAAGGAAAAUGGUAGUAAAUAGUAUGUUAAAAUCUGGAUUUUACGCCUAGAAACUCCUAAGGAAUUUUAAAGAAAACUAGAGUUAUUUCGAUGGAAAAUGGUUUUGAAAUCCAG